rnacentral:misc_RNA from 1 species
AGUCGAACAAAUUUAUUUAUUUUUUCGACAAAUUUAAUUGAAAUGAUUUAAUUGAAAAAAAUUGAAAAUAAAUAUUAAAAA